AUGCUGUUGGCUCUAGCUCUGCUUCUAGCUUUCCUGCCUCCUGCCAGUCAGAAAUCUUUCAACUUGGAAGGGAGAAUGAAGUUAGUCACCGGGCUGACUGGGUCAUCGGCUGUAAUCACUUGUGAUCUUCCUGUAGAAAAUGCCGUCUACAUCCACUGGUACCUACACCAGGAGGGGAAGGCCCCACAGCGUCUUCUGUACUAUGUCUUCUCCACCUCCAAGAUUGUGUUGGAAUCAGGAAUUAGUCUAGGAAAGUAUCAUACUUAUGCAAGCACAAGGAGGAGCUUUAAAUUUAUACUGGAAAAUCUAAUUGAACAUGACUCUGGGGUCUAUUACUGUGCCACCUGGGUUAGGCACAGUGAUUCAGACCUGCCCUACCCCACGCUGAAAAUCUGCCUUGAGACUACUCCUAGUACACAAGAUAGACCAGCCUCAUCUCAUUUCCUGCCCAUGAAUUCACUGUAUUCUGUACAAACAGAAACACAGCUUAACUCCUGAUCUCCCCACUAAUAUCACACUCCCCUGGCAGCAGCUGCACCCUGUUCUCCACCCCACCCUCAUGAGUUACCUAAACACCAAACUACAAUCUCCCAGCUGUGUCAGCCAAGCAGCCUGGCUGACAGCGAAGUUCUUUCAGCUCUUCUAG